rnacentral:rRNA from 1 species
GCCGGCGACCGGCGCACGGGUGAGUAACACGUAUGCAAUCCACCUGUAACAGGGGGAUAACCCGGAGAAAUCCGGACUAAUACCCCAUAAUAUGGGCGCUCCGCAUGGAGAGCCCAUUAAAGAGAGCAAUUUUGGUUACAGACGAGCAUGCGCUCCAUUAGCCAGUUGGCGGGGUAACGGCCCACCAAAGCGACGAUGGAUAGGGGUUCUGAGAGGAAGGUCCCCCACAUUGGAACUGAGACACGGUCCAAACUCCUACGGGAGGCAGCAGUGAGGAAUAUUGGUCAAUGGUCGGCAGACUGAACCAGCCAAGUCGCGUGAGGGAAGACGGCCCUACGGGUUGUAAACCUCUUUUGUCGGAGAGUAAAGUACGCUACGUGUAGCGUAUUGCAAGUAUCCGAAGAAAAAGCAUCGGCUAACUCCGUGCCAGCAGCCGCGGUAAUACGGAGGAUGCGAGCGUUAUCCGGAUUUAUUGGGUUUACAGGGUGCGUAGGCGGCACGCCAAGUCAGCGCUGAAAUUUCCGGGCUCAACCCGGA